AACCUAGCACACCUGCGGUGUGUACCUGCGGAAGGAUCAUUACCUAGAGUUGUAGGCUUUGCCUGCUAUCUCUUACCCAUGUCUUUUGAGUACCUUACGUUUCCUCGGCGGGUUCGCCCGCCGGUUGGACAAAACUUAAACCCUUUGUAGUUGCAAUCAGCGUCUGAAAAAACUUAAUAGUUACAACUUUUAACAACGGAUCU
rnacentral:misc_RNA from 1 species